rnacentral:rRNA from 1 species
CCCUUAGAUGUUCUGGGCCGCACGCGUGCUACACUGAGUGGAUCAGCGGGUCAGGUUACGCGAGAGCGUUUCCUAAUCUUCAAAUCCGCUCGUGAUGGGGAUUGACGGUUGCAAUUUUCCGUCAUGAACGGGGAAUACCUUGUAAGCGCGGGUCAUCAUCCCGCGCUGAAUACGUCCCUGCCCUUUGUACACACCGCCCGUCGCUCCUACCGAUUGAGUGGUCCGGUGAGGCUUUGGGAUCUAAGCGAAAAGAGCGUUUCGCUCCUUUUGCUGGGAGAACUCAGUCGAACCUUAUCAUUUAGAGGAAGGAGAAGUCGUAACA